AGUUCCUGCCGGGCAGGGUGGGUAGCCGGACUCCCAACUGCGCCGUCUUCACGGAAGCGGGGCUGAGGCGGGGCCUGGGGGACUGCAGUGCUGGUGACUGGCCAGUCCUGCUGGGGGCGGGGCUUGUGGAAGACGGGGCGGGAUUUUGAAGACCUAGGUCUUGUGGAUUGGUGAACUCACUUGGGGCGGGGAGGGAGGUGGGGCUACCCUGGGGUCUCUGGCAAAGUCCUCGCCUGGCCGGCUUCGCCACCCUUGUGCUUGCGUUGCCCACAAGCUUGUACACAGAAGAACUCGCCUGGGAGGGAUCGCUCCUGGGAGAUCUGAACGCGGGAGGGCCUGGAGCGCGGCGGCAGCUGGAUAGUAUUAGGGACCAUCCGAAUAAUAAGCGUCCAAUGCCUCCAGCAGCAGAAGCUCAGCAGGUUGGAACAAAGAGAUUGCUGUGAUGAAGUUCUGAUGGUUGCACCAGGGUCUGAGGAGACACGCUGCUGGGUCUUGGCAGGAGCCUGGAUGGCCAUCUUUCUUCUGAUAGCGAUAGGCUGGAUGCUGGGAUAGAAGCCUGAUACCUCCUCCAACCCUAGUCCUUGGCCUCUAGUUUUACUCGCCUGAGGCAAGGGUAGAGUGGAGGAAGAUUUAGGGAAAGCAAGUAGUCCAUCUUAUUGUUAGGGACCAGAGAGGUUGGGGGUGCAGAUGAAACCAACAUCUGGUAAGGAGUGUGGCUGAUCAGCCUUGGGCUCUGCUUCCUCAUCCCACCUUUGCUUCCCAUCUCUGGAACUCUUCUAGGGGGAGAUUGAGUUACUUAGUAUGGUAUGGGGAGGUGCAGAGGGUAUGGCUAAUAAACAGCCGGGAAUUCUACUUUGUCUAACUCCUUUCUGUGCAAUCCAGAUCUUAUAUUGAGGGGGUUGGGGAUGGCAGGGAGAAGUCACUUUAUCCUCUAUCUCUCCAUAUGUAAAAUGAGAGUUUGAACCGAUGAUCUCUGCUUCAACAUGGGGACUCUAUGACUGUCAUUCCAGGGAAAGUUCCUGGGCCUUGGCCAGCUGGCCCUAAGUCUCCUUUCUUUUUUUCUGCAAAAUGGGCACGAACUAUUCAAUUUCAGAAUGAGGAUAAAUGUAUACACACACUAUUAUCCAAGCCUCCUUCUCCUGCCCCUUAAUUAUUUCUGACCUCAUUAGCUCCCCCUUCCUAGUAGAGGGUGGAUAUGGCAGCAGUGUUUGUGUGAAUAUCAUUCCUUUAUUCAAAAACAGGUUGGAAUCUGUUAUGCACUUGUUAACUGUAUUAGGCCUGGGGGAUUCAACAGUACAAAAGACAGAGUCUUUGACCUUACAGAGAAAACAGUUGAGUUUGGGGAGUAGGUAGUGAGGACCAGGAAGCAAGACAGGGUUUAUAAGUUGGCAGAGGUGGGACCUACCCAUAAGGUAGAAUUUCACAAAAACACAGGAAGGUCCUGUGCCUUCUUUUGAUGUUUCAUUUUUGAAAUACAAUUUUUUAUUAAUAUCCACGAUUAUUUUAGAAAUUAAUUUCCUGGGGGAAAACAUGAGUACAAGCAACACAAUAAAAGUUAAAUUUGGCCAGGCACAGUGGCUCACACCUGUAAUCCCAACACUUUGGGAGGCCAAGUUGUGCCAGAUAGCUUGAGCCCAAGAGUUUCAGAGCAGUCUGGGCAAUAUAGUGAGACCUUCUUCUCUACAAAAAAUUUAAAAAUUAGCCAGGCAUGGUGGUGUGUACCUGUAGUUCCAGCUACUCAGGAGGCUGAGGUGGGAGAAUCACCUGAGCCCAGGAGGUCAAGGCUGCAGUAAGCUGUGUUACUGC